AACACACAUGAACAUAAGAAGGAACGAGGAAUAUAAUAGAAGUAAUAUCUUUGUUCUCAUGGGGCUCACCAAGAGCACUAUAACAAAAUCGACAAUGGUGCACUACGUGGUUGUUGCAUUCCUGGUGCUUGCUAUGAUAUGUUCUACCUUGCCAUCUUGCCAUGCACGCAUUGAACCUAAUAAGGUGCACGUGGUGUGCAAGCCGAUGGAUCCAUGUGUCAAUGACAAAGGAUGCAAAGCUAUGUGUGUGGGUAUGGGCAUGCGUUUCUGGAUUCCCCUUUGUAAGGGGAGCAUUUAUCCGAUGUGUUGCUGUGUAGAGCCUCAAUAACUCAUUGGUAGUUCUCUACCUAAGCUAUGCAAUGCUGAAUAAUUAUAUGCUUGUAAUGAAUGUGUGCUAAGUUUAAUAAAUUUGUUUUUCAUCC